AGCUGGCCGGAGCACAACAAUUGCAGAAGGUCUCUUUGGAUAGUUAGAAAUUCUAUAAUUCGGGUGAUUCGUGGUCAAGAGCGACAGUGUGUUUUGUGCUGAUUGCCGUUCUUAUCUGCUGGUGGAUAGCGGCCGCGCGUCUGCUACUUGGGCCGAGGGGUGAUCCUACAACAGACCGAAGAAAUGAGGUCGUAGGCUACGUCAAGGGUUGGUCCGUCCUCGAGCACUCCUGCGAACAAAAUAAACUCGGGUGAUCAGGCCGUUCUAAAUUGCCGGGGAGGUUAACACUCACAGGGCUGCCUGCCACAGUCGGUCGCCUUACAGGUCACUCCCGGCUGGGGGGGGGGGGGGCUACACCGAAGGAAGGACUUCUCAACAGAUCUCCUGUGGAAAGAGAGCAGAGAAUCAACGAGGGGCCCAGCGCUACUCGAAGCGGUCGCACCUAUUGCUGAUGGAAGAUCUGGCGGAGCCUGGCGAUCAGGUGGGCAGCUACCUCUUGAAGGAGAUGACAGCUCGUUCUGCCUCGAGUGAAGUGCUGCUGGCCUUUAUAUACCCUUCGCUGACUGCCGCCCCUCAAGCGUCGUGCGGUCGCCCUGGCAGGGAGAAGUGGA